rnacentral:lncRNA from 10 species
UUUCCACAGAGGUGAAUCACUUCAAAGAGAAGGACCAGAUUCUCAUGGACCCCACUGCCAUGCUGGCCAGACAUCUUGCUGCCAUUGUUUUCCUGUUAUUUACUCCCAAACAGAUGGUCUAUAAUGAAGAAUUGACUUUUCUUUGUUCUCAAGCAAAGGACCUUUGGUAAGUUUCCAAAACAUAAACUCAUGUAAGUAAAUGGGAACUUUAGAGGUAUAAUCAAUCAGUGAUUCAAAAUAUUCUUUUAGGGACACCUCUAAUGGCUAUUUUUUCCACAUGUCUAAAGGCAUUGUGCCUUCUUUGUAUGUGAAAACAAUUCUAUCAA